UAUGUGAUACUCACGAGAUACGAAUAUAAUAUUUCUGAUUAUGGUAAACUAAUAAUAUUAAUAUACACCUACGUUUUCGACUACUGGAAUGCGUGAAGGAUAUUUUUUUUUUCCCUCCCGGACAUUUCAACGCAUUUGUAGUGAUUUGCUUACGUCGGGAAUACGUGCAGGGAUAACGUAAAAUGAUCGCACGGAACCCAACACCACAAUUUAAUAGUAUUAUCAUUAUAACUGCAGAUGAUACACAUUGCCAUCACAGGCAGCGACGUAUGGAUUGGUUAUAGAGUGGGUUUAC